GAAAUAGGGCGCUGGCUUUGCCAGGAGCGGCUCCUCUCCAAGCCUGGCGGUCACUGCCCUGUGUCCCCUUUUGGGCCUCUCCUGGUCCUCCUGGUUGGAUUAGGAGGCCUCUCAGCCCGGAGUCUGGGUCGCCGAAGUACAGGCCCCUUCACUGAAGCGACCCACGGCGCAGGGGUUUCUGGAAGCCAUCGCCAGGCUCCGAGUGUUCAGAUGCAGCUGCCAGGCUCAGGACGCAGAGAACUGGCUUCCAGCUCGCAGGAGCGCCUGUCCGUGGUGGGUAGGGUCGCAGGCGUGGGGUGUGCAGGAGCAGUGGGACAGCACUGAAACGCAGUCGGAAUGGAUGCAUGAUGAAAACAAUAGGCCAUUUAACCACAGAAGAGAAAACCUUUGGAAGUCAGCUCAAAAGUGCAUCAGGGUCCAGAAAAGAUCAUUUAAGGAAGCAAGUGGAUGAUACACGUCCCAGUGGCCAAGAAAAGAAGGAACUUCAGGGAAGGAAGAGAUACCACGGUGUGCAGGCACAGGGAAAAGACCACGUGAGGACACAGAGAGAAGACGGCCGUCUGCAAGCCAAGGAGAGAGGCCUCAGGUGAAACCAAACCUGCAGGCACCUUGAUCUUGGACUUCCAGCCUCCAGAAGCUUGAGAAAAGAAAUUUCUGUUGUUUAAGACACCCAUUCUGUGGUAUUUGUUCUGGCAGCCCUAACAAACUAAUAUAGGGAUCUAAAGAUUCCUUGUCUUCAUUUUGAGUAAGAGACUAUAAACUCAGAACUGUGGAGAUCUAGUUAGGUAUUGUACAGCUAGCCUCAUUCUGUCUUAAACUCCAGGUAAAAGAGAAAAAUAUGGAGACAGCCCCUGACUUUGGAGAACUUGCAGUUUUGUGGAGGUGAAAGGAGGCAGCCACAAGAAAAACCCCUGACAUCAAUUCAAAACUAUAAAUAACAAAGACUAACUUGUUCUAUGCACAACAGGUACUACAGCACUGUCCAACAUGGGGACAUGUGAGUGGCCUGAAGCAGCACAAGAACUGGGCAAUAAACUUGAGAUGAACCUCAAAGCAUCAAUAUUAUUCAUGACUAAACUGGGUUCUAAGAAUUUCUAUUUUUACUCUCAGUGUUCAGUAGAGGUCAUUAAAAAAAAAUCUAGCAAUUUUUUUUUCUAAAAUGAAUAUGUAAUAAGAAUGAAAAACAAAAAGCACUAUAAUGUUUUUAAUUAAUGAAAUGCCUUUACGAACCAAGGUGCCAUCUUGGAGAAGCUAGGCAUUAUGAGGAGCUAUCAGGAGCACAUUUGCUAACAGCUUGGCAUGAGCAGGAUUUUCUUGACCAACUGGCAAGAUGGGGCUGCUCAGCUCCUGCUGGCAGAUUUUUAUGGAGCAUAGUUUUACAAAUUCAGCCUACAACUCUGAUACGUUCCAAUGUAUUUUAAACAUCUAUUCAGUUGCAACUCUAAUCCCAGGAACCUGUGGCUAACAGAAGGCAGAUUUAACUGACUAGCAGCUGUGGGAUUUUCAAAGUCUAAACUGAAAUGAACAUGCGAAACAGUUGGACUACCCCAAAAGCUGAAUUACAAUUCCAGCACUCACCAGCUCUGAAACCUCACUUGGUUACCUAACGCCUCUGUGCCUCAGUUCCCCAGCUAUAAAAUGGAAAAGGCAACAAUACCAACCUUGUAGAUUAUGUUUUGGAUUAAAUGAGGCAACACAUACACAGCACUUAGAACGUGCAAGGCACAAUGGAAGCAUGCAGUGAACAUGACUUGUAAUGAUGCUGACUGUCAUAACUCUCAUCCAUAGGGAUGCUGCCUCUGCUUGUCACCCUUGACCUAUAUAUUUUCAGGCAGUCCUCACCCAGUCCCCAUUUGUGUGUUCUAGAUAGAAAAGGCCCCAUACUAUGAAAUGACUACUGUCCUUCUGCAUGAAGCCUGGUGAACCUGAUAAUGUAGCCUUCAAGUUCCCUUACUGAGCCUUGAGCUCCCUUCAAAGUAUCCAAGCCAACCCUGUCUUGGGAAACUCACCUAGAUAAUGCCCUGAACCCCAAUAAAGGCUCCAGCCCACAGGUCCCUCCCUCUCUCUUGGUCCCCACCCUUUGGCUGGGCAUGUGUGUCCUCAAUGUCUCCAAGCCCUUCCAGUAAGCCCUGCAAGGUGUGCUGGCCACUGUUCUCUGGAAUCUGUGAGUAAUAAACAAUCUUUUUGCCAUUCUGCUC
rnacentral:lncRNA from 10 species